CCUACGGGUGGCUGCAGUGGGGAAUAUUGCACAAUGGGCGCAAGCCUGAUGCAGCCAUGCCGCGUGUGUGAAGAAGGCCUUCGGGUUGUAAAGCACUUUCAGCGGGGAGGAAGGCGGUGAGGUUAAUAACCUCAUCGAUUGACGUUACCCGCAGAAGAAGCACCGGCUAACUCCGUGCCAGCAGCCGCGGUAAUACGGAGGGUGCAAGCGUUAAUCGGAAUUACUGGGCGUAAAGCGCACGCAGGCGGUCUGUCAAGUCGGAUGUGAAAUCCCCGGGCUCAACCUGGGAACUGCAUUCGAAACUGGCAGGCUAGAGUCUUGUAGAGGGGGGUAGAAUUCCAGGUGUAGCGGUGAAAUGCGUAGAGAUCUGGAGGAAUACCGGUGGCGAAGGCGGCCCCCCGGACAAAGACUGACGCUCAGGUGCGAAAGCGUGGGGAGCAAACAGGAUUAGAUACCCUAGUAGUC
rnacentral:rRNA from 1 species